CUGGGAAGUUGCUAUAUCUGUAACUGUCAAGCAAUAAGCAGUCUUUCAAGUUAGUACAGGACCCAUUUAUUUCUUUGGAUUUUAUUAUUUCAACCCACUUAAUCAGGCCACCAGCAAUAAUAGGAAGAACUAAAAACAUUGCUACAAAACAUGUAAUCAUAAGAUGUCUGACUCCAAGAGAACUGAGGGAAGUGGAAAUUAUGACAUAAAGAUCCAAAAGGAAAGUGUUUGGGCCAGCUGGAGAGAAGAGGUGGCUCCAAAUUAGUCCUCUCACCUCCACCCUAACCCCAAAGGGCAAAGAAUGACAGCUUAGACAGCAUAUAUUCCUAUUGGUUACAAGCUUGCCAAAGCAGUAGCUUUCAAGGAAUGGCCUAGCCUGUGCCCCUGGGAAUGUGUACCCUGGAGAACUUCCAUUUGCUUUUGGUAGAGAGGAACCUAGAAAGAACAAAGGAAGUCUGACACAUAGUAUAAAAUUGUGAAAAAAAGUUGCCCUUUUACAUUCCAGUUUGAGAUCUUUUAAAAAACAGUGAAGUUUACAUAUAUUCCAUAUCAUCCAAUAUAAAGAUACAAUUGAAUACAAUAAAUGUUCAUAAUCACAUUAAUUGAUUGUAUUUGAAUGUUUUAAAAUAUAUGCAGAGUGUUUUAAAAUAUUCAAAAUAUAUUCACAUUUGUUUUCUGUUUUAACAUUAUAGCAAUCCUGGCCAUGGUGCUUCCCAAAUUUUGUGGACAAUAUAACUGAGACCCAGAGAUUUUCAUCAAAUUGUUAGACAAAGUAAGAUUCAAUCAUAGCCUUCCUGUUUGUUAAAAUGCAUUCUCCACUACCCAUAUCCUUCAUCAUAUUAGAGAAUCAAUAAUUUACUGUUCAUAGUUUCAACUCUCCUCUUUGCUCUAUGUACACACGUUCUCUAAAUCCAUCAAGUAUUUGAUAUCUGUGUUUUCAGAAAUUACAUGUGACCCUUGGUUAGCUUAAUCAAAAUAUUUGCAACUCCGUUUAAGUCUCCCUUGAAUGCACAGUGAGACAAGACAACUUUGAUGCACAGAGUUGUCUUUCUUCGGGAUGACAUUUCUGACAUCAUGUCUGGAAACAAAAGACAUAAUGACUCCAUGAUAUUCCAUCUCAAUCACACAAAAAAACUUAAAAAUUAAAAAAAGAUUUUUAGAAAGAAGAAAUUGCCAUUUUUUUCUGCAGGAAAGGGGAACUGCUUGAAGAAUUUGAAUGAUGUAAGUUUGUCUGAAAGCUUUAAAGAUGAAAGGUAUCACUUUUUACCCAUUAGCAUUAUAGGAUGAUGAGAUCCUGAAUGUGCCUUGCCACUUCAAAGGGUCACUGGACUACAGCUUUCAGAAAAGACUGCCUGCAAGAUUGUGAAGGAGGUUCAAUUCCCUUCAGGUUCUUCUUUCAGUGCACUUGAACAUGGCUACAACUUUUAGAAUUCGCCAAAGUUUUUAAUGUAACUUCUAAAUCUUUCUAUUUCUGGGUCCCCCUUGUAAAUUUCCAUAUAGAACCUCAGAUUUCUUUUGUCCUUCUUCAGGCCUACAUUGAAUUUCUAGGACUUAGACCAGGGUUCUAGCCUCUUGCUUAAAUAUUUAUGCUUAUCACUUCAGUGAACAGAAGGUACAGGUGCAGUUCGGGUUCAAAUUCUGGAAACCCAUCAUGCCUUGCCUAAGAGGUAUCUUGCUGCUAAGACAACUGCCCAGAGAAAUCAGAUGUGUGUCCUGGAGAAACAUGAGGAAUACCAAUUGUGAGUUUACUUCUUUAGUCCUCCCAGUGAGAGAAAGGACAACAGACAGAGUUAUGUGUGGGGUGGCAAAUAGUGUGUAAUUAUUUGCAAAUCUGCCUUAAAGCAAGAGAUCACCAAUAUAUCCUAGUCUGCUUACCAGGGGAAUACUUCGUAGCUAAUUGAAAAUUUCCCAAGGAGGUUAUUUUUUGAUUAUGUCAUUCCCAACAUGAUAAUUUUGAGACUUUUGACUAAUAUUUUCUUUAAUAUUUAAACCAUUAACCAUAAAUAGUGUUGUUUUGAUUUUUAAUGUUAUUCAAUGUAGUGGAGACUAAAAAUUGUUUUCCUUUGCAGUGACUCAGGGGAGAUCAGAGUUGGGUGAACCUUACUCCAGUUCCUGGUAGAGAGUUUUCCAUAUUAACAACCAUCAGCAGUGGGUUGGACACCAUUCUAAACUCCUCUUGUCUGCUUCUGAAGCAGCUUGCUCUCUCUCUGAAGCACAAUAGGAGCCAUUCGGCCUGGCUAGUCUCUCAGGGGGGUCAACUUUACAUUUCCCAACUCUGUGGAAUUCCUUUGAGAAGUGGCUCACCACCAAGAACCACCUUUUCCCAUGGGACUGAGAUAACACUGCUUGUCCACUCUUUCCCAUGACUCCCAUAAGACAUGGGUGACCCCCUGGUUGAUGAUGAGGCCAAACACAGACCUUCCUUUUUCCUGUACCAGCUGAAAAGGUCAGACACAGACCCUCCACUUUGUUGUUCUUUAUCUCAUAAAUGAUUAGCCUAAGACUAGAACUGUCCCUCCCCCUGAAACUGGCUAGACACAGAGAUAAACAUUUCCUGUUCAGCUAAGUGACUGGGACUCCACCUAAUUGUACAAUAGCCCCAACUGUAAAUCAUGCUGUGUUCCUCCCUGUGACAGUCCAGGGCAAAACCACUGUGCUAAGACAUUCUGAUUUUCAGAUCUAGUGUGCUUUCCUUAUUGUAAUAGCCUGAAUAAAAUCAAUUUCCUUACUGGUUCUCCUUUUGUCUUUGGCAUCAGUAAUGCUGAACAAAACUAUGACACUUAAGAAACUACUCAGACAAUCCUGAACAAUACUCUGAAGGCAGUUGAGAAGUUCACAACCAGCUAGUCCUUGUAUAAUCUUUUUUCCUUUACUAUCUGCAUUCAGUUUAAGCACUGCCCACUGGCAAAGUUACAUAGACACAUAAAUACACAUUGGUACUUUUAUUCAUUUUUGUUUAAAACAGGGAAUCACCUUCCACCAAAUCAUAAAAUUCUCAAGAGCAAGAUAAAGAACACGUUUUCUAAGUCUCCAAAACCCAUUGGAGUAUCUUUCUCACAAGGGAUGGGCAUUGUUAGCCUGCUGGGUUUCAGUUGAUAAUUUUGUCUAAAUAAACUAGGUGGUGUUUUCGUUUUUUCUUUCUCAAUUUAGAGUACUGAGCAAGUUUUGUCCUCUCAGAAUGCCCUUCUUGGAGAUAACAGAUGGGCCAAAUCUGCUAUGAGAUAUCAACAUGUAUUCCUCUGUAAUUCUGUGGGCUUUGUUGUUGUUGGUGGUGGUGGUGGGGUAGCACACAGGGGAGGGAAUGAAGAUGCAUUCAUCACCUGGGGCUAUGAAGUCCAUGCCUCUCCACAGUGCCCCUUCCCUGGCCCUGAAGCUCACAUACACUGCCAAGAUCCAGCUUGUUAACAGAAAUAACACAGCACCAAACUCCUGUGAAUAUCUCCUGCAAAACUUGUUGGAAAAGGCAGGCUCUAAGAUAACGUUCCACGCUGGCAAUUUGGAUUUUCAUUACAAUACCUGUUACUACCUCUGACCUGUCUACUAUAUGCCAACCACAGCACUGAGCACAUCAUAAGUGACACUUUUCAACCACACAACAACUUGCUGAAAGUCAGGUUCAAGUCUGUCUGAAUCCAAAGCCUCUGCUCUUUCUUUACUGAUGAUUGAUCUAUUAUCAAGAAUACAUUUCUUUACCUGAUAUGAGGGAGAGAUUGUGGGCCACCUGAAAACCUUCACAGACUACUAAUAAUCCUCAGAAAGAUUGGGAAGUGGGCGAGGAAAUUCUAAACUCAUACUUGUAUCUUAAUAUUCUAUGAGAUAAACAAGUUAGGGCCAUGUUGAGCAGGUCAGCUAUUGUAAGCAAAGGUCUCAGAUGUGGCACCAAGGCUAUCUGUCCUCGGAUUUCUCUGAACAGCUUAGCAGGGAGUCUCCAUGGUGUAGGCAUAAAAUGAACCAGUGAAGAAAUGUAGAAAAGUAUUUGUUUGUUUUCUCCCAUAGUGUGUUACGAAGGUUUUAGCCCAAAAUCUAAGGAAGCAGAAUGAAGAUUUCUAGAAAACGCAGGUGAGAUGAAGCCAAAGUGUUAUUUAUACAAACAUGAAAUCACAUCAGCUCGUUCUGAAUGCAGCGUAAUAAGCUGCCUUUCUUAGGAAUAAUGAAGCUUGAAACAAAGAUGUUUUUCCUCACUUAUAGGAAUUUCAGACAGCUGGCAUCACAUCCCUUCUAUACUAGAAGUUCCUUUACACUGACCCGAUCCAGGAGUGGUGAGAAGCAUGUAAAUUGUCAAAUGAAAUCCUGCUUGUGGUUUGGAAGGAGGAGAAAAUCCCACCGCCUUUGUUUCUAACCCUGCUGAGAAGCCGUUUUUUAAAAACCCUUUCCAAAGCACUGGGUUCUCUGAGGGUGCUUGAUCAGUGAAUUGUCAAGGUAAAUUUCCAUCUACCAGUUCUCCAGUUUUAGAUCCAAUCAGAUGAUUCCAAAAGAAUAGAAUUGCACAGUGAAGCAAUCUAAGAAAAAUAUAUCUACCAAUGUUGGGGGAAGAUGCCAGGCAUGACAUGGAUAGAAAGGCAAAAACUAAGGCCAGGCAUGGUGGCUCACGCCUGUAAUCCCAGCACUUUGAGAGGCCGAGGCGGCUGGAUCAUGAGGUCAAAAGAUUGAGACCAUCCUGGCCAACAUGUUGAAACCUAAUCUCUACUAAAAAUACAAAAAUUAGCCAGGCGUGGUGGCACAUGCCUGUAGUCGCAGCUACUUGGGAGGCUGAGGCAGGAGAAUCACCUCAACCCAGGAGGCAGGUUGCAGUGAGCCAAGAUCGCACCACUGCACUCCAGCCUGGUGACAAGAGUGAGACUCUGUCUAAAAGAAAAAAAAGGCAAAAACUAUCGACAAGGAGACCAAAAACUAGAUAGACAAAGAGCAAUGGCAACUUUGAAUGUCAAGAAUAACGUACCCAUGUUGGUACCUUAAAGUACAGGCAGUUCGAAUGCAAUGCGAAAAGAAUUACAUAAACAUCUAUCACAAUCACACCCUUUACCACUGACUUUCCAGCUCAUUUUCGACUAAUGCUCCUCUCCUCUACACUCACCCAACAUUCCACCUGGGCUCUAUCUUCGUGCCUUCUGAGGAUGGCAAAUGCUUAAAUUGUCUGCUGCUGCCACAGCCCACUUAACCCAUCUCCUUGAUUUGGCAUUCCUGAGGCUUGUGUCCCAAUCCAAUGAGGUUCAUUCAAACACUAAGGGUCCCAGAUUGAGCUCUCCAGGAUUCUCUUUUAGUCCCCUCUCACCAUAGAGUCAUGCUGUGCAUAAGGACGGUCCAGUCAAUGAUGGACCACACAUAUAGUGGUGGUUCCCUAAGAUUAUAACAUCAUAUUUUGACUGUACCUUUUCUAUGCCUAGCUAUAUCUAUAUACACAAAUACCAUUGUGUUAUAAUCUUCUGCAAUAUUCAAUAUAGUAACAUGCUCUACAGGUAUAGCCUGGGAGCAAUAGACCACACCCCAUAGCCUAGGUGUGUAGAUGGCCAUACCAUAGUUUUCUCUAAGUAUACACUACAAUGUCACACAAUAACAAAAUCGCCUAAUGACACAUUUCUUAGAACAUAUCCUUGUUGUUAAGUGAUACAUAUCUGUACUUGAAGAAAAAGGCUCUGUACUUGUGUUCCUCCCCCACUGAACUCAGGCACAACUUCUGCUA
rnacentral:lncRNA from 1 species